UGUGUGCGUUCGUGUGUGUGUGCGCUGCGUAGUGACGUAGGCGCGUGCAUGUGUGCCCCGGUCACAGCUCCUUUCAGCAUGGCCGGAGGAGAGGUGUACUGGCAGACGCAUGACACACACAGAUCAGACUAUUUCUGUGUUGCAGAGCUUAAGUUAAUGUUUUAAAACAAUUUGUUGUAUUUGAUUUAUUAUAUUAUUGUAGUGUUAAUGAAGCUGCAGUCACAGCUCCUUUCAGCAUGGCCGGAGGAGAGGUGUACUGGGAGACGCAUGACACACACAGAUCAGACUAUUUCUGUGUUGCAGAUGUGCAGUAAAGAGCCAAAGAUCCAGUACUGUCUCCUGCCUCUUACUUUCACGCCAGAACACAACGCAACAACAACAGGCGUAACACUUGAACGGGUUAC